GAUGAGCGCUGGCGGCGCGCCUAACACAUGCAAGUCGCGCGAGAAAGGGCUUCGGCCCCAGUAAAGCGGCGCACGGGUGAGUAACACGUAGGUCAUCUUCCCCUGAGUGGUGGAUAACUCUCCGAAAGGAGAGCUAAUACAGCAUAAGACCACGACCUCGCCGAGGUUGUGGCCAAAGCAGACCUCUUCAUGAAAGUUUGCGCUUAGGGAUGAGCCUGCGGCCCAUCAGCUAGUUGGUAGGGUAAUGGCCUACCAAGGCUAAGACGGGUAGCUGGUCUGAGAGGAUGAACAGCCACACUGGAACUGAGACACGGUCCAGACUCCUACGGGAGGCAGCAGUGGGGAAUAUUGGACAAUGGGCGAAAGCCUGAUCCAGCAACGCCGCGUGAGGGAUGACGGCCU
rnacentral:rRNA from 1 species